CCCUAUGGGGUGCCGCAGGCCCAUGGCUCCGCAGCUCCAGAUGACACCCAGGAAGACCACCGGUAUGGGCAAAAGAGACCAUUUGACGUGAUUGAACGUGAUCAGCAGGGCCACAAUCAUGAGCAGGCCGGCCAGCAGGAGAAUGGGGCCGUUGCUUGAAGCCAUCUCUUCAGUUAUUGAUUGCAUGAGCGCCGGCUUGCCGGUGACAGUGACCACCACGUCUGGGGGAAAAUCGGCCAUCUUCACCUGGCCGGACGUCUCCGCAUAGAUCUCCCGAAGCUCUGCUUCCUUCAGGGUGACCGGCAGGUCGAUGGAGAGCAUGGUGUGGCUCCUGUCCGGCAUCAUGGCUUUCAGGAUCGGCUGAUUGGCGGGAGGGC
rnacentral:rRNA from 1 species